rnacentral:lncRNA from 1 species
UGUGUGCAGAGAGCAGUCUCUUCUGGUUUCCCAGGCUUGUCUGCCUCUCUGAAGGUUCAGCUCUCCCUCCCACGGGAUUUGGGUGCAGAGAACUGUUUAUCCGGUCUGUUUCCUUCAGGGUCCGGCGGUGUCUCUGGCAGGUGUCCUGCCGCUCCUGGGCCCUCCCCCACGGGAGCCCAGAGGCCUUAUACAGUUUCCUCUUGGGCCAGGGAUGUGGGCAGGGGUGAGCAGUGUUGGUGGUCUCUUCCGCUCUGCAGCCUCAGGAGUGCCCACCUGACCAGGCGGUUGGGUCUCUCUCGAGAUUUUGUUUUCUUACUGGGAAGAAACUAUGCUGACAUCAACCAUGCACCAUGCAGAAUAUGCCCCGUGACACAGCUCUUUCCAGAGACUUGUUUGUGACCCCGGGAAUUGGUAAGGGGCGAGAGGGAUGGGUAGAAGCACUUUUCUAUUCUGUUAUAAAAACCCAUUUGUACUUUA